ACUAAGGAUACAGUACAGACUAAGGAUACAGUACAGACUAAGGAUACAGUACAGACACUGGCAACAAGGUCAAUGCUUCCAGUACAGACACUGGCUCCAGUACAGACACUGCCAACAAGGACACUGGCUCCAGGACAGACACUGGCUCCAGGACAGACACUGGCUCCAGGACAGACACUGGCUCCAGGACAGACACUGGCUCCAGGACAGACACUGGCUCCAGUACAGACACUGGAUACAGUACAGUCAAUGGAUACAGUACAG